rnacentral:misc_RNA from 1 species
CAGAGAAUAUCGCCCUCACGGGGUGACUCUCCAACCCUAUGUUAUUGUACCUUUGUUGCUUUGGCGAGCCGCUUCGGCCACCGGCUCACGCUGGUGAGUGCUCGCCAGAGGACCCCAAACUCUAAAUAUUAGUGUCGUCUGAGUACUAUAUAAUAGUUA